ensembl:lncRNA novel transcript, antisense to C7orf33 and CNTNAP2
GCCAUCUUGUCUGCGCCAUACUGUACACGUGGCUGGCACAAAGAGACGAUGGAGCUGCCGUUUUGAACAUGCCUAGUCCCAGUGUCUGAGGCGCAUGGCCCCGGGAGAGGAGGAGAAUGGGACGGUGGUUCAGAUCUGCUGAUGUAGCUGUGGUCAGUCACUGGGGAGAAUAGGCCUGUGGAUUUCUGCUCCUCUGAGAUGGAUCCAUCACUGACUACUGAACUUGUUUUCUCAUUGGCUCAACUUAAGAAGGUUCUAGAGGUUGUAUCUGUUUGCUCGGGAUGCCAUAACAAAGGACCACAGACUGGGGGGUUUAAACAGCAGAAGUUUACUUUCUCACAGUACUGGAGGCUGGAAGUCUGAGGUCAAGGUGCUGGCGGUGUCGGUUUCUCCUGAGCCCUCUCUCUUUUGCCGCAACAGGCACCCAACAUCUGGGUGAAUAAACUCUCCACUAACAGACAGCCAUGGGUUCCUGGGCCCGCCUCUCUCCGAGUCCUCUCCUUUAUCAGAGCUGAAUGCAUCUGAUCACUCUGCACAGUGGUGUCAAAUUGGCUAUUCUCCCUCUUUUUAUUGGAGUCCUCUUUCAUUCAGUCCCAAUUGUGGGAAAUGAAGUUUUACAGCCAUGGAAGGGAAGAUGAAGGGAAGAAGCGGAGAAGACAGAUUUCUAUAGAUCACAAGGCAUUUUGGAUGCCAUAAAUAUGGUGGAUACCCUGUAGUUCUGCAGUGUCUUUCUUUAGGGAAUCUCAAGUGCCUACUCUCUAAUUUAGUCCGCUGUGUGGCUGUGGUCUUUAAGUUGGAGUCUGUGGAGACAAAGAGGGAGGUCUUGCUGUGCCUGACCCUCUGGGAUGUGUUACCACCCACGCCGACCUGCUCUCUGCGGCUUUCUGACAGCACCUCACAGCCCUGGAACUGGAAAUGUGGCUCUCACUGAAGCUGCCCAGAGAGAGGGUCUCUCAGUGAAGACCCCCUGUUGUCAGCUGGGGCAGCCGGAAAGAAAGACUGGGAAUUCUCUUCACACAGGAUUUGAUAUGCUUGGUGGCUCCAGAAAAAUGCA